AUUGAACGCUGGCGGCAGGCUUAACACAUGCAAGUCGAGCGAGUGAAUCUCCUUCGGGAGUGAAGCUAGCGGCGGACGGGUGAGUAACACGUGGGCAACCUGCCUCAUAGAGGGGAAUAGCCUGUCGAAAGGAAGAUUAAUACCGCAUAAGAUUGUAGCUUCGCAUGAAGUAGCAAUUAAAGGAGCAAUCCGCUAUGAGAUGGGCCCGCGGCGCAUUAGCUAGUUGGUGAGGUAACGGCUCACCAAGGCGACGAUGCGUAGCCGACCUGAGAGGGUGAUCGGCCACAUUGGGACUGAGACACGGCCCAGACUCCUACGGGAGGCAGCAGUGGGGAAUAUUGCACAAUGGGGGAAACCUUGAUGCAGCAACGCCGCGUGAGUGAUGACGGCCUUCGGGUUGUAAAGCUCUGUCUUCAGGGACGAUAAUGACGGUACCUGAGGAGGAAGCCACGGCUAACUACGUGCCAGCCGCCGCCGUAA
rnacentral:rRNA from 1 species